rnacentral:rRNA from 1 species
UACGUAGGGGGCAAGCGUUGUCCGGAAUCAUUGGGCGUAAAGCGCGUGUAGGCGGCUGAGUAAGUCUGCUCUGAAAGCCCGGGGCUCAACCCCGGGAGGCGGGUGGAUACUGCUCAGCUCGAGUCCGGAAGAGGAGUGUGGAAUUCCUGGUGUAGCGGUGAAAUGCGUAGAUAUCAGGAGGAACACCUGUGGUGUAGACAGCUUACUGGACCAUUUCUGACGCUGAGACACGAAAGCGUGGGUAGCAAACAGG